UGGAGGUCGUUAGCCGUGGUAGGCAAUUCACCUAGGAGAGCAAACUCCGAUCAACAAACCCGGGCAGGUGGAGGUCGUUAGCCGUGGUAGGCAAUUCACCUAGGAGAGCAAACUCCGAUCAACAAACCCGGGCAGGUGGAGGUCGUUAGCCGUGGUAGGCAAUUCACCUAGGAGAGCAAACUCCGAUCAACAAACCCGGGCAGGUGGAGGUCGUUAGCCGUGGUAGGCAAUUCACCUAGGAGAGCAAACUCCGAACAACAAACCCGGGCAGGUGGAGGUCGUUAGCCGUGGUAGGCAAUUCACCUAGGAGAGCAAACUCCGAACAACAAACACGGGCAGGUGGAGGUCGUUAGCCGUGGUAGGCAAUUCACCUAGGAGAGCAAACUCCGAUCAACAAACCCGGGCAGGUGGAGGUCGUUAGCCGUGGUAGGCAAUUCACCUAGGAGAGCAAACUCCGAACAACAAACCCGGGCAGGUGGAGGUCGUUAGCCGUGGUAGGCAAUUCACCUAGGAGAGCAAACUCCGAACAACAAACCCGGGCUUGUGGUGCCCGUUAGAUGUCGUAGACAAUCCACGUUUUGGGACCACCAAAGAAAACGAAAAAGAACACCACAAAAAGGAAAAUAUAAAAACGAAACAUCGAGAAAAGAAAAACCAAACACACAUCAUCCACCAUUAGGCCCUAACCAACAUCCUCAAAUUUAUGGGUGGGUUUUUUCUGGGGAGAAAAAGGCUCAUCCAGACCAAAGAACAUCAAAAAGGGAUGAUGUAGAAAUGAACACCGAAAAAUAUAGAUAAGAAAAAAGAACAGAAAAAAAUCGAAAAAGAAAAGUAACAGCAAUAAAAGAACAACAUCAAGAAAAGAAAAAUACAAGGAAACAUCAUCCACCUUUCGGCCCUGACUAACAUCACCAAAAUUAUGGGUGGGUCUCUUCUGGGAGGAAAGAGGCUCAUUCAGACCAUCAAAGAACAUCAACAAAAGGAUGAUAGAGAAAAGAACAUUAAGAAAGGAUGAAAAAGAGAAAUAGAAAAAAAUAUCGAAAAAGAAAAACAUCAAGAAAAAGAACAAGAAAACCACGACAUCAAGAAAAGAAAAAUAUAACAAACAUCAUCCACCUUUCGGCCCUCAGUAACAUUACCAAAAUUAUGGGUGGGUCUCUUCUGGGAGGAAAGCGGCGCACCCAGCCAUCGAAGAACAUCAACAAAAGGAUGAUAUAGAAAAGAACAUCAAGAAAGAAAGAAUAAGAGAAAAAGAACAGAAAAUUAUCGAAAAAGAAAAACAAAGAAAAAGAAAGACCUAUAAUUGUAAAUAUUCUUCAACUUAUUAA